rnacentral:rRNA from 1 species
GAUUAGAGUUUGAUCCUGGUUCAGGAUGAACGCUAGCUACAGGCUUAACACAUGCAAGUCGAGGGGCAGCAGAUCGAAAGCUUGCUUUUGAUGCUGGCGACCGGCGCACGGGUGAGUAACGCGUAUCCAACCUUCCCUAUAGUAGAGAAUAGCCCGGCGAAAGUCGGAUUAAUGCUCUAUGUUGUAUUUAGAAGACAUCUGAAGAAUACCAAAGGUUUACCGCUAUAGGAUGGGGAUGCGUCUGAUUAGGUAGUAGGCGGGGUAACGGCCCACCUAGCCGACGAUCAGUAGGGGUUCUGAGAGGAAGGUCCCCCACAUUGGAACUGAGACACGGUCCAAACUCCUACGGGAGGCAGCAGUGAGGAAUAUUGGUCAAUGGACGGAAGUCUGAACCAGCCAAGUAGCGUGCAGGAUGACGGCCCUAUGGGUUGUAAACUGCUUUUAUAUAGGGAUAAAGUCGGGGACGUGUCCCCGUUUGUAGGUACUAUAUGAAUAAGGACCGGCUAAUUCCGUGCCAGCAGCCGCGGUAAUACGGAAGGUCCAGGCGUUAUCCGGAUUUAUUGGGUUUAAAGGGAGCGCAGGCUGAUGAUUUAAGCGUGACGUGAAAUGUAGCCGCUCAACGGCUGAACUGCGUCGCGAACUGGUUAUCUUGAGUGAGUUCGAUGUUGGCGGAAUUCGUGGUGUAGCGGUGAAAUGCUUAGAUAUCACGAAGAACUCCGAUUGCGAAGGCAGCCAAC